rnacentral:tRNA from 1 species
GGAUUGUGGCUUAGUGGUAGAGUGCUUGCCUAGCGUGCAGGAAGCACUAAGUUCGAUCCUCAGCACCA